rnacentral:lncRNA from 1 species
UAACGUCAGUGUUGAGCCCUUGUAACGGAAUCCACAGCUGUCAUUCAGGACUCCAAUCCGCCCCCAGAAUGACCUUCCUCAGCGGACACGCCCCGUCCACCUGUCCCACAGGUGCGCCCGGCAAGAUGGCAGCGGGGCGAGUUUCUGCGGCUCUAGGUGCGUUUGCGUUUUAUUUCUAAUUUUCUUAUAUUUAAGUGCAUAAAAUCAAAUUUCACUUUGAGGAAAGAUAGACAUACAUGUAUUGCUGUUGCAACUUUUGUUAAUUGCAUUCGUUCCUUUUUAAUUUGUAUUUCAGGACGCCGAAAUGAGUGUUCUGUUCGUUUGAGCGUGCUUUCGAAGUUUUAAAAGUCUGCAUGCAGCGUUCUACACUACCUUUCAUGUAAGUAUGUUUUUUUAAGAUAACCUUCAAACGUUUGUUUUAUAAAGCUGUACGCUGUAAGCUGUAAGGGCUAUAAGAACGCUUUCUGCUCCGAAAUGAUAAAAUAUUGUACAAAUUAACUAGACUAAUUCGUAUGCUCUUUUAUUUCUCGAGGUGCCAAAAUGAUUUCCAGAACGGACCUCCAGUUAUUAAAAGUGAUUUUUCCAAGUUCUGCGGCUCCUGGUUCUCUGCGCUCCGACGAUGUCCUUUCCAACUCCACUCCAGCGACUCGCCGUGCUUUGGCAAAUUAUCCUUGACAAUGUGUGCUUUUCCUUACAUUUCUUUUUGAUACCAGUGGCUUGAUCUGCGAUGUUCCGAUUCAGUGGUGUAUUUUGUUCCUGACCUGCAUGUUUCUUGUUGAUUGCUAUUACUGUAUGUGCUGAGCAUUCUGCAAUAAAAGCUCUUGAUUUCAUUUUGUGCAUCGUCUUGUAUUUUUUCAAGGUGUGUUGGAAGGGUUUGCUCUGGGCCGCUGUCUCACUCCUGUAAGUUUUGGGCUGGAGAAUCUGGAGCGACCACGGGCAGUUUCCAAGAAACCAUGCGAAGGUUUGUUUUGCACUUUGCGCCACGCACCGCAAGGGGACACCCUAUCGCAUUUUUUCUUGG